GAUGAAGAACGUAGCGAAAUGCGAUAAGUAAUGUGAAUUGCAGAAUUCAGUGAAUCAUCGAAUCUUUGAACGCACCUUGCACCCUUUGGCAUUCCGAAGGGUAUGCUCGUUUGAGUGUCAUUGUACUCUCACACUCUCCGAUCCUAUGGAUUCGGGGAGCGGUGGACUUGGGUGUUGCUGCCUUUCCCUGUGGCUCACCUCAAAUGCGUCAGUGCACCUCUUGGUUGGACAUAGUACGGCGUGAUAAGUGUCUUCGCCGGCACCUCAGUAGAGGGUGGCUGAUCGGGAGCUCUGCUUCAAACCGUCCUCGGACAACAACUGACAACUUGACCUCAAAUCGAGUAGGACUACCCGCUGAACUUAAGCAUAUCAAUAAGCGGAGGA
rnacentral:misc_RNA from 1 species